GCUUGUCUCAAAGAUUAAGCCAUGCAUAUCUAAGAAUAACUAACAUUAUCUUGAAUCUGUGAAUGGCUCAUUAUAUCAGUUAUAGUUUACAUGAUAGUCAAUACUACUUGGAUAACCGUAGUAAUUCUAGAGCUAAUACAUGCUGUUUUGCCUGACUCUGUGGUAAGGCUGUGCUUAUUAGUACCAGAACCAACCCAAGUUCUGCUUGGUUGCAUCCUGAUUCAUAAUAAACGAAUGGAUUGCAUGCUUUGGCUGGCAAUGUAGCAUCUAAGUUUCUGACCUAUCAGCUUCCGACGGUAAGGUAUUGGCUUACCGUGGCAAUGACGGGUAACGGAGAAUUAGGGUUUGAUUCCGGAGAGGGAGCCUGAGAAACGGCUACCACAUCUAAGGAAGGCAGCAGG
rnacentral:rRNA from 1 species